GUGCUCGCGUUGGCAGCACAUAUACUAAAAUUGAAAUGAUACAGAGAAGAUUAGUAUGGCCUCUGCACAAAGGUGACACACAAAUUUGUGAAGAUUUCCAUAUUUUU